CCCGGCGGCUAUGGCGGAGGGGCCACACCCGUUCCCAUUCCGAACACGGAAGUUAAGCCCUCCAGCGCCGAUGGUACUGCUUGGGCGACCUUGUGGGAGAGUAGGACAGGAU
rnacentral:rRNA from 1 species